CAGCAAGGGAUAUCUUGGCUCUUGCAACGAUAAAGAACGUAGCGAAAUGCUAUACUUGGUGUAAGUUGCAGAAUCUGUGAACCAUCGAGUCUUUCAACACAGGUUGAACCCGAAGCCAAUAGGCCGAGGGAACGUCUGCCUGGGCGUCACGCAUUGCGUUUUCCCUGCACAC
rnacentral:rRNA from 2 species